rnacentral:rRNA from 1 species
AGAGCGAACGCUGGCGGCAGGCCUAAUACAUGCAAGUCGAACGGACCCUUCGGGGUUAGUGGCGGACGGGUGAGUAACACGUGGGAACGUGCCCUUUGGUUCGGAACAACUCAGGGAAACUUGAGCUAAUACCGAAUGUGCCCCCAUCCUUAAACAAGAUGGGUGGGAAAGAUUUAUCGCCAUUGGAGCGGCCCGCGUCUGAUUAGCUAGUUGGUGAGGUAAAGGCUCACCAAGGCGACGAUCAGUAGCUGGUCUGAGAGGAUGAUCAGCAUCACUGGGACUGAGACACGGCCCAGACUCCUACGGGAGGCAGCAGUGGGGAAUAUUGGACAAUGGGCGCAAGCCUGAUCCAGCCAUGCCGCGUGGAUGAUGAAGGCCUUAGGGUUGUAAAGUCCUUUUAACGGGAAGAUAAUGACGGUACCGUAGAAUAAGCCCGGCUAACUUCGUGCCAGCAGCCGC